rnacentral:rRNA from 1 species
CGCGAAUCGCCCUUCGGGGUGCAGCAGGCGCGAAAACUCUACAAUGCAGGCAACUGCGAUAGGGGAACAUCGAGUGGUCCUCAUAUUGGGGGUCUGUCCACCCGUCUAAAAAACGGGUGUUAGCAAGGGCCGGGCAAGACCGGUGCCAGCCGCCGCGGUAAUACCGGCGGCUCGAGUGGUGGCCGAUAUUAUUGAGUCUAAAUGGUCCGUAGCCGGCUUUGCAAGUCUCUCGGGAAAUCCAGCGGCUUAACCGUUGGUCGUCCGGGGGGUACUACAUUGCUUGGGACUGGGAGAGGUAGGAGGUACUCAGGGGGUAGGAGUGAAAUCCUGUAAUCCUUUGGGGACCACCGGUGGCGAAGGCGUCCUACCAGAACAGGUCCGACGGUGAGGGACGAAAGCUAGGGGCACGAACCGGAUUAGAUACCCGGGUAGUCCUAGCCGUAAACGAUGCUCGCUAGGUGUCACAACAGUCGUGAACUGUUGUGGUGCCGUAGGGAAGCCGUGAAGCGAGCCACUUGGGAAGUACGACCGCAAGGUUGAAACUUAAAGGAAUUGGCGGGGGAGCAC